GGCAAGAAUCCCCAGCGGUCGGGCACUGGGAGGCGAUGCUGAUGUUCUGGAUGGCGUCCGACCUGGGCACCGACUCUUUCAACUUGAUGAGCAUGAGGUCGUUGGCGAUAAAAGACACAUCCUGCGUGGAGAAGAAUGACCGUAGGGUGAGAAGGGAGCAGACACCGACACGAAGGCGGAAGGUGACAGCAGCCCAGGUGGGCGAUGCUGUGGUCCAGGGAGAAGAGGAAUGAAUGGGCGCAGGGCUCAUCCCGGAGUUGGCCGCCAACAUUGACAGAUCAGGAAAUUUCAAGCUUCUCUUGAAAAGUCAAUAUCGUGUCUGCAUUCCCACGGUCAUGAUCCACCAGCAGCAGGUUCUGAGUGGCCACUGUCCUGGGGACAGCUUGCCCGUUUUCUGGCCCACACCCGGCGGUUUCCUUCAUUUUCGUUACCUGCCUGGCCCCAGGAAGCAGCAGAGUCCGUGACCCCAGUGGAGGAAAAAAGUGGACACAAAUACAGAAAGACUCAGGCACAAAGAGACAAGAGAUAAAGUAAACCAGAAAAAAACAAAAACAAAAACAACAAUAAUCGUCAUACACUGUCACAGAGCACCUACAUAUAAACUUACAUAUAGGCUAUACAAACAGUACUUAUUUUGUUCCAGGCACUUCUCCAGGUUCUUCACAAACGUUAACUGGCUCAAUCUCCUCAAUAUCCUAUGAAAUCGGAUCUAUUAUCCCCCCUCCCCCCACUGUACAGAUGAAAAAUGAGGCACGGAGAAGCUAAGAGCUGUUUACCUGUCGACCAAGUUGCUAACGUGGUAGAACUGAGAUCUGAACCCUCAUCCCCACAUCACCCACCCUGUGUGAGCCUAACCACUAGGCAACACUGCCCCCUUGUGGAUUUGGAGGCACACAGGGAAAGAAUAAGAGGUUGAAGGGGUGAGGCACAAAGGAAGGAUUCCCAAGUUCUCCUGGGUGGGGGACUGUGGGUCUCAGCACCCAGUUCUGGUGCUAGAUGGGGACAGAGGUGCAAGCAAACUCCUUGCAGACAGGGGGAGGGAGCCACCUGAACCUUGCCCUUGGCGAGCUCAAGUCCUGAUCUUGAUUGAUCUUGGGUCUCUCAGGUUCUACAGGGAAAGGCAGGGAGUGUGGCCUGUGGAGUCAGACCCGCUCCAGUGAGACCCUGGGCAAGAGACUAAGUAUUUCUUUUUUUUUUUUUUUUAAAUUUUUUUUUAACGUUUAUUUAUUUUUGAGACAGAGAGAGACAGAGCAAGAACA